UACAGAGACUGCAAGCGUUAUUCGGAUUCACUGGGCGUAAAGGGUGCGCAGGCGGUUGGGUGUGUCAGAUGUGAAAUCCCGAGGCUUAACCUCGGAACUGCGUCUGAAACUACUCGACUAGAGUACUGGAGAGGGUAACGGAAUUCACGGUGUAGCAGUGAAAUGCGUAGAUAUCGUGAGGAACACCAGAGGCGAAGGCGGUUACCUGGACAGUUACUGACGCUCAGGCACGAAAGCAUGGGGAGCAAAAGGG
rnacentral:rRNA from 2 species